rnacentral:rRNA from 1 species
AUGGCCCCUUCAAUUGACAACGACGCAGUCCUGGGUGAGACUUUUCUCCCCGGACAGAUCUUCGUAUUCGGCGGCUUCGCACUGCGGGCCAACUCACUUGGCCAUCUGGAGCAGAUCGAAAGCUACGUCCCUGGCCGUCAGGUCAGGUUUGGAAGCCUAAACUUCACAGCCGAUAUCCGCGGGGACUUGAUCUUCGAUGGGUCUGAGCCACAGCCGAGCAUGCCGCGUUGUCACAAUGGGCACGACCUAACUCUGCCGCCGGACAGCACCCUAGAGGCCGCACACGAAUCCCCUCCGACCCAUAGUCCGGAGCCGAUCGCUCAGAUCGAGGACGGAUGGCUGGACACCGCCUCGGGAGCUGUAACUUUUACGGUGAUGGAGCCGAACGCUUACCUUGUCCCGCAUAAAGCUCAUGACUCCGAGGUGCCGGACUCUCUGCCGGACUCCGAACCUCCUGCGCCCCUGCCAGUCGAAUCCGAUUGGGCGCCGAUCAUGGAAUUCACCGCCGCGGACACCUUUCAGCACUCACCCUUCGGCGAUAUAUUAAAUUCGCUGAAGCAUCUCUCACUAUCUGGAGAGCCCUGGCCGAACUACGGCCAGGAUUGUCGGGACGCGGACAAUGAAGAAAUUCAGAGCCCACCCACCACCCACUUCGUAGCCACCGUCGACGAUCUAACCGACGUGCUAAACUACGACUCCGAAGACAUCAACGGUAUGGACGACGAUGCCGGAGACGAUCAAGAACCAGCGCCUGCAGGGUACUGGAAGGCCACCUCGUCACAUGACAUACAUAUGGUGGACACCCCAAAGGGAAGUGAUACCGAGGAACAACGGGACGCGGCAGAGGAUAAUCCCACUGAUAAACAACCAAAACGGCGACGUAGACGCCGCCCUAAGUCCCGCCUCGAUCAAAGCAACAUUCCUAACGACCCAGCGAUAGAGCAGGGCAAACCAGCGGACGACGAACAUAAAACCAAGCAACCAUCCGGACAGGACGAACCGGAUAAUCAACCCCUUCACGGAGCAAUGAACAGUCCGGACACACCACCGGAGCAUAAGAACCUUCACAAAAGACUCGUCGCCACUGCAAGAAGUUUGAAGAAGGAAAAACGGAAGCUCAAAACAGCGGAAGACAUACUCAGAAUGAAGUGGAGCAAAAUACUCAAGACCGCAGACAAAUAUGGCAAUGGCCAUCAAACAAAGAGCUACCCGAAGCGCAAGCUGCUGCCAGAAUUUGACGAGGAAGCCAUAGAGCCCUCACAGUCAAAAAAUAAAGAGGCCGCCUGGCCAGAUAGACGGCCAGAUGACAGGCCAAAAGAGACAAGCGGCACCGCACACAAGCCGACUUAUGAUCCUGGGAAAACGGACGGCCCAACUAGGUCCAUCUACGGGCCAAAAAGGAGGGCCCCAGGAAGUAACACAACACGACAAGUGUUCGAAGACAGCGGCACACCCAAAUACAGGGGCGCCGCACACCCGCUAUGUUUUACUGACGAGGUGCUGGAUCAUGAAUUUCCAGCAGGGUUCAAACCCAUAAACAUAGAGGCAUACGACGGCACAACAGACCCAGGAGUCUGGAUAGAAGAUUACAUACUACACAUACACAUGGCUAGAGGAGACGAUCUCCACGCCAUAAAAUACCUACCCCUCAAGCUCAAAGGGCCAGCUCGGCAUUGGCUCAAAAGCCUCCCAGAAAACACUGUUGGAAGUUGGGAAGAGCUUGAGGACGCGUUUAGAGCAAAUUUUCAAGGGACUUAUGUCCGCCCUGCGGAUGCAGACAAUCUGAGUCAUAUAACCCAACAGCCCGGAGAGUCAGCGCGCAAAUUCUGGAACAAGUUCCUUACCAAAAAGAACCAAAUAGUCGACUGUCCGGACGCGGAAGCCUUAGCAGCUUUUAAACACGACGUCCGAGACGAAUGGCUCGCCAGACACCUCGGCCAAGAGAAGCCAAGAACAAUGGCCGCGCUAACAAGCCUCAUGACGCGCUUUUGCGCAGGAGAAGACAGCUGGCUAGCAAGAUGCAGCACCAGCGACCCGAGUACAUCCGAGAUCUGA